GUUUCAGGGCGGGGUGAAAUUCCCCACCGGCGGUAAAGCCCGCGACCACCCUUUUGGGUGCUGAUCCGGUGAGAUUCCGGAGCCGACGGUAAAGUCCGGAUGAAAGAAA
rnacentral:ncRNA from 1 species